ACUUUGGAGAAACUUUGUUUUGGCGGGAGCAACUCAGGAGCCUGUCCAUGAUCUACUCAGACUAAAACGUGGGUCUAUCUGUCCAAACAGCCUCAAACCAGCUCAGUGUGCCCCGAGAGAGACCAACAAGAGAGGCCAAGGAGAUAGAGUCUUCCUCUCUCCAUCCCCAGUUGUAUUGCCCAGAUGCCAUGGUGAUAGAGCCUUGACGGACUCACUGCAGUGCUCACUUCAUUCCCUCCAAGGAGGUCCUGGUCACCAGGAUGACUAGCAGCUGGUCAGUCUGUGCAGCAACUGGCAACCUAUCGGUGGUUCAGGGGAGGCAGACAGAGAGCCGGGGGCGGAAACGGAGGGGAAGUGACCUGCGCAGGGUCCCAGGCAUGACGCGAACACGGCUCGGCAAAGUCACAGGCCAAUGCCCCAGCCACUGGACCACACUGCCUUGCCGCAAGACACGGUGACGUAAGGCCCAGCCUCCAGCACCACCAUUAACCAAGCUGGAGUGAGAGCGGCUCUGGAAGAAAACAAGGGCUUUGAUUCUCUCUCUCCCAUCCAGACAAAGAGGCGCGGAGUCAUAAAGCUUCACUUUCAGCCCCUCUCCAGCAGACCUGCGCGUUCAGUUGCUGGAGACAGCAGCGGAACCGCAAAGCUAUUGUCUUGGCUUGUUAGAUCAAAUGUGAAGCCACAGGUACGAACAGCCUGCGCUGGGCAGGGGGAGGGGAAGACAGGAAGCUGAAUCUGUGGCAGAGCAGUUUGAAGAGGGGGUUGUUGCCGGGGCAUAGGGCAGAUAGCCCAAGCCCAGCACAGAGCCAUUUCCAUCUACACUUGUAACAGCACUAAUGAGCCAUCGGCAGCCUCAUCACAGCGCAGGCUCUGGCAGCUUGCAUUCCUCAGGCUGGUAAUUCAACGGCAGCUAAUUUGGUGUGUUGGAAUUAACUGCACUGUGCAUGAGGCUCUCAGGAUAUCCUGGGUUGGGACUCUGCCCCUGGAGAGAAUCCCUGCAGAGCAUAGUGCAAAGCGAUGGAGGGAAAUCUAAGAUGCUCACAAGAGACAGGACAAGAGCAAAUGCUUAAACCUCUACAGUUAAGCUCUCUUACCCAGCAGAGAUGCGAACGUUGAGCUCUGGCCAGAUUCCAGCUGAUA